rnacentral:rRNA from 1 species
GGGAAGCAAGACCGCGAGGUGGAGCAAAUCCCUAAAAGCCAUCCCAGUUCGGAUUGCAGGCUGCAACCCGCCCUGUAUGAAGUUGGAAUCGCUAGUAAUCGCGGAUCAGCAUGCCGCGGUGAAUACGUUCCCGGGCCUUGUACACACCGCCCGUCACACCAUGAGAGUCGGGAACACCCGAAGUCCGUAGCCUAACCGCAAGGGGGGCGCGGCCGAAGGUGGGUUCGAUAAUUGGGGUGAAGUCGUAACAAGGUAGC